CUAUUGCUCUCUGCCAUUCCUUCCGUCGAUUCCAGAUUGGAGAGCAUUCAUUGCUUUCUUUGAGGUUUUGCUUGAAAUUCUUCGGACAAAUCAACAUGUCUUCUGCAGUACAGUUGGGAGCAAAUAAUGCAGUAUGGGCAAUCAAUUGAUGAUGGUGAAACUACCAGGUUCAUAUUCCUCAUCUUCUUGGUUUGUACAAGUUUCUUCUUUCCAAAAGUUUAUCACAUGAAAGCAUAUGACAAUCUAUAAUGGGGCUUUGUAUUCUCACUACAAUUGCAUUUCCAAAGCCAUUUCAAAGAUUGCAGGAUAAAUAAUGUCCCCAAGAUAAUGGUUUUUUGAACAGUCUAUAAUAAAAGUAUUUACAUCGUUCUAGGUGUCGAAAGUUGAAAUUAGCCUAUUUAUGCUUUCUUAAUGAAAUUAGCCCAUGUGAUAUAGACCGUAAUGGAUAAGUUUCACCAAUGGUCUAGGCUUCAAGUUAAUCCAGCCAAGUGCAAGAUUUUUUACAUGCAGAACAAUAUGCUAGCAUUUUUGUGAUAAAAUCAUGCUCCCAAUAAGAUAUUUAGGAGCACCUUGAACAA